AUACCUGCCAUCUGCCGUGAGGAGAACAUAUCCCAGCUGGCUGCUGAUCCCAGAAUGAAGAGAUACAUGGAGAGGGUAUGAACUUGACUCUCAGCCUGAAGCAGAGCCAUUCCAGCCAGCCCACAGACCCAGGAGCAAGCAAAAAAAAUGUUUUUUGGACUCCUCCUGGCCAGCGUUGGAAAGCUGUUGACUCUUCUUUCUCCAUGACUGGUGAGCUCUGAUGAUCGGAAGAAAGUAAUACAGAAAAAUACAUGUGCAUUCAACUGAGGAUGACUGGUUAACAAAGUUAUAGUUGGCUAAAGCACAUGAAAAUAAAGUAUGAAUCAGAAAUGGAGGCAGACUUGGGCAGAACACAGAUGUCUUCAUAAAUAUC